GUAAUUUCAAUACCAAUAUAAACUUUUUGUUCCGGUUCGAGAUCUCUCCUCCUAAAUUUUUGUUUGAUUUCUUCAAUCAAAAGCUCUCUACGACAAACUGCAAAUUCUUCUCCAGAAUCUGCGGCGGAUUCCCUUAUCGGGUAUUCGAUUCCAAAUGUGCAGUAGCUUCUCUUCCUUCUAUUGCUUCAGAUUAUUGUUUUUUCCGUUAAUCAUUAGAAUGUACUUGUGCUUAAUGUUGAUAAUGAUUGUGAUUAUAAUCACUAGUAUACUUGUGUCACAUAUGGAACAAAUUUAGUUAUUUUUUGCUGUAAAUUGGUAGUAUACUAAAAACUCUAAGAUUUUUAAGUGUUGAAAAUUUCAAUAAUCCUAAGUCCCACUGUAUAAUGGCUAAGUUGAGAGAAAAAGUAUGUGCAUUCUUUCUUUAGUUGGAGUUUUGGCAUACAUAUAAACACAUUGAAGCUAAGAUUUUUGCCUAUCAAUAGAAGAAUCUAUAAGUUUGAAGAAAUAAAGUAGUAAUCCUUGUUUUUCUUUACAUGUAUGUAGCGAGACUCCUUCAUGACUCAACAAUUGUUAUAACUAUCUUCUUCUCUGUCUCUACCCACCUCAAGCUCCCUGUUAUCUCGGUGAGCACUUAACAUUUGAAGACGCUGAAUACGUUGUGGAAUUGUUCCAUCAAAUCUCAUGCUCUGAGGAUCUUCAGAAUAAGCUACAUAGUAAGCCAAUACACAUGCCUGUAGCCACGCCAAACCUACCCUUCCCUGAAAACACUCAAAACCAGGUACACAACAUAAACCACUUUGUCUUAAAGUCUUCUUCUUAGUUUUAUAAAAUUAGCUAUCUUACCACAAAAUAUCCAAUUAUGAAAGCAUAGAGAGUCACUUCCAGGGCAUAGUCCUUGUGUAUUAACAACAUCCAUAUCCCAGCAGUUAAUGAAGAGACAGCUCCAACAGAAACAGCACUGAGAAAACAGAAGGAGCUAGUGAGAUCCGAGUCAAUCAGUUUCUCCAACCCUGUUGUGCUUCUGAACUUCUUCCAGGUAUCACUCGAAGCCUCCAUGAAUCCUUUAUCAUAGGUUCCAACAUGUACAAAGCCCCAUCUGUUUCCAAGUGUAAUGAGUUUGUUAGCAAUGGUAGAGAAGCAAUCAGCACCUGAAUACAUGACCUCAUCGCUGCUCCCUGACAUUAGAUUAACACUUCUUAUUGAUCCUCUUAUGAAUACGAUGAUUGGAACAAGCGUCGAGCCAACGCAGAUGCUCCCAGUCAAGUGUUUCAUAGUGAUGCGGAAAGCAUUCCAAGCGUCCAUAUCUUCUCCAUGUGCAAAGUUUACAUAUCUCGCCCGUGAAAUCGCAACUUGUUGAACAUUCUUGAUAACUUGCAUCGUCCAUGCUAAGCUUAUUAUGAUUACGGAUAUGAACAAGAUAUCAAGAUUUGUUCUAGUGGAAGUUGCUCCUCCAAUUCCAGUCACCAAGAAACCAGAGUAAACGACACUGACUAUGAUUGAUAAGCAGACUACUUCUCUGGUUCUUGCAGGUGGAAAUGCUGUGGCAAGUGAUAAUAUUUUAUCGGUGUACUCAAGCCUCGGAGUAAUCCAGCAACCAUAGAGGGACUGAGUAAUGGCGAAAAGGACAAACACUGCACCUAUACCUGCAUCUACCGCUGAGCCAAUCAAAACAAGCAAGAUUCCUACCGAGCAGGUGAGUAUUGGACUAAGCCAGAACGUUGCUUUGACUGCUCUUGAUGGAUUGUAGAUAAAGAUGCAUUGCCAUGCUAAAGAUGCAAUUCCUGAGACAGCAACAGAUGCUAGUAAAGGAGGGUACCAUUUCUUGAGGUGGAAAUGGUGUGUACUUGCUGAGAUGAGACCGCGAAUGGUGAGAACGAUCACCAAAAGUGAGAUUAAGGUUAGUUGUGAGAAGAGAAGACCCUUGAAAAGAGUUCUAAAGAGUUUUCCUGCUAUGGUUUGUUGUGUUGUUGGAGGUGGUCUACCUUGUUGUUCCUGCAAAAAAAAAAAAAAAAAAAAAAAUGGUGUCUCAUCAACAGGUUAUUCAAAGCUGGUUAAUGUGAAUUCGUUAUGAACAUGCAAGUAAAAAGCACCAUGAAGAAAACAAGAAGAGACAAAAGAGAAGCUGGGUCUUGGUUUUGUUCUUGAGUCAAGAAAUAGUGAUGGAAGUCAACGAGAGAGGAUCAAAACAGAUAGCAUAAAGUAGAAAGCAAAACAGAACCCAGAGAGAGAGAAGAUACAGAGAUCAAGGUGUUUCCUGAUUCUUGAUUCAAAAGAGAGAAAUACCUUGAAGGCGAUUGGAGAAGAAGAAGGAGGAAGAGGAGACAUUAUUCUUGGUUCUUGAAUCUGCACGCGAGAGGCAUGACCGUUGCUUGUUGGUGUAGGCAUAGAUGCGUUGUAUUUGCCAGGAGUGUUCCUUGAAUCCCAAGUUCCACUUAACCAUCUUCAUCAAUCAUCAUUCUUCUGUUGUAUAUAUAUAUGUAUAUAUACAUACAUCUUUGUCAAUAAGUUCUAUCAUUUUGUUGAUGUUUUAUUAAAUGCAUUUCGAAUAUUUAUUAUACAUACUUUAUUCCAUUACUUUGACU